CGGGGAGGGUAGGGAGGGGCCCAGGCCCCACGGGGAGGGUAGGAAGGGGCCCACUGCCCCUCAUCCCCUCAGCGGUACCAGCAGAACCAGCCUUUGCACUGAGCCCAGUGUAGCCCAACUAUCUCCGAUCCACUUUCUAGAGCAGAACCAGCUGCCCCCAUCUUGCCCAUCUACCCAAGAACUGCCUCCAUCUUGCCCAUCUACCCCCAACAACUACCCCCAUGUUCUUUCAGUGAAAGCACUGACCAUCCAACCAUUUAGUGCCCAGCAAAGCAAAUGCCCCUUACUCACUGGCCGCCAUUCCCCUUAGAGCUGUUAGUUGCCCCCCCGGUACCUGUAUGAGUGGAGAUGCCCCUGGGUGCCCUGAGCCCCACUCUCUGCUUCUGCCUAUGGAGACUUCUGCCUACAUUCCAAGGUGACGCGUCACCGCCGUGACAUCAUAACGUGAGCACCAUGUGACUUCCUGUCGUCUUGUGACGUGACAUCCUGUCCGUGAGAUCCUUAGUACCACACUGGGGGUUCUGGGGGCAGAGAGUCGUUUCAUUUGAGGAAGAAGUACUGUAUAUAUUACAUGGGAGUCAGGGGGAGUGGCACAUUGGUAACUGGGGGAGGGGCUAAUGGAAUGAUGGGCGUGUUUGUCUCAAGGGGCGUGUCAAAAGCGCCUAAAGGUGAAGCCAACCACUGUUGGACGUGAGGCACAAAACAAUUCAUUGUGUUUCAUUUGUAAAGAUCCAAAAGCAAAGUGGGUCAGUCUGUCCCCGGCCCUGUGAUUGGGUAGGGGGUUGUUUAUCCAGACUCCCCCUCCCGAAUGGAUUCCACUUGGCCUCGAAUGAGCGGCGCUCCUGCCCGGCUGUUGGUUCUACUGUGUCGUGUGCUACAUUGUGUGUAAUUGUGGCCCCCAGUGUACAGAACGCAUGCACUGUAUUGUCUCUAUACAGGAGGUGUGGCCCUUACUGUGCCCUACUGGGAGCCAUUACAGGGGCCCCUGUCCGUGUUUGUGACCCAGUCCUGUGGUUCCGUAACGUUAAGUGAAGGGUUCUGUGCUGCUUGUCUCCCUGUAUCCCCCCCAGAGUCCGGCAGCAGCGGCUACAGGGGGACUCAUGGGUUAAACUGCUCCGCUGCCCAACAGAGCUGGCACUACAAUGGCAACUAGGUUCCCAUGGGUUAAACUGCUCCGCUGGACAACAGAGCUGGCACUUCAAUGGCCACUAGGUUCCCAUGGGUUAAACUGCUCCGCUGCCCAACAGAGCUGGCACUUCAAUGGCAACUAGGUUCCCAUGGGUUAAACUGCUCCGCUGGACAACAGAGCUGGCACUUUAAUGGCCACUAGGUUCCCAUGGGUUAAACUGCUCCGCUGGACAACAGAGCUGGCACUUCAAUGGCCACUAGGUUCCCAUGGGUUAAACUGCUCCGCUGCCCAACAGAGCUGGCACUACAAUGGCCACUAGGUUCCCAUGGGUUAAACUGCUCCGCUGGACAACAGAGCUGGCACUUUAAUGGCCACUAGGUUCCGCUCGCAAACUCAAACAAGCUUCUGCUUUUAUGGUCAUUGGCUAAAGGGCAAGUAAAGCAAAGCCAACAACUUUAGGUUCCACCCCUGCGGAGCGGCUGGGAAAUGGGCAGAACCAAUAGGCAGCUGAAGCCCUGCAGGGGGAGGAGCUUAACACCCCCCCUGUGCCGCUGCUACCGGACUGGCCACUCCCCUGGGCACAUUCAUGUUUGAUGUAACCAGUUGUGUUGUUGGGGCUCACAAGGCUUUGUGUAGGCGUGUCCGUGCUGUGUGUGGGUGUGUCAGUAUUGUGUGUGGGCGUGGCCAUGUUGUGUCACAACGUUUGUAUCAGUGUCUUGUCCUUUAUUUUUAAUAAAGUCACUAAAUUAC